rnacentral:rRNA from 1 species
AGAGUUUGAUCAUGGCUCAGAAUCAACGCUGGCGGCGUGCCUAACACAUGCAAGUCGAGCGAGAAAGGGGCUUCGGCCCUGAGUAAAGCGGCGCACGGGUGAGUAACACGUGGGUAAUCUGCCCUAGAGUGGGGAAUAACACCGGGAAACCGGUGCUAAUACCGCAUACGAUCAUGAUGUCUUUGGAUGUUGUGAUGAAAGGAGCAAUCCGCUCUUGGAGGAGCCCGCGGCUGAUUAGCUAGUUGGUGAGGUAAUGGCUCACCAAGGCUACGAUCAGUAUCCGGUCUGAGAGGACGGUCGGACACACUGGAACUGAGACACGGUCCAGACUCCUACGGGAGGCAGCAGUGGGGAAUUUUUCGCAAUGGGGGCAACCCUGACGAAGCAACGCCGCGUGGAUGAUGAAGUCUCUUGGGACGUAAAAUCCUUUCGACGGGGACGAAACCGCAAGGUUGACGGUACCCGUAGAAGAAGCCCCGGCUAACUCCGUGCCAGCAGCCGCGGUAAUACGGGGGGGGCAAGCGUUGUUCGGAAUUACUGGGCGUAAAGGGCGCGUAGGCGGUUUGCUAAGUUGAAUGUGAAAACUCUGGGCUUAACCCAGAGCCUGCAUUCAAUACUGGCAGGCUAGAGUUCUGGAGGGGAUAGCGGAAUUCCUGGUGUAGCGGUGAAAUGCGUAGAUAUCAGGAGGAACACCGGUGGCGAAGGCGGCUAUCUGGACAGAGUCUGACGCUGAGGCGCGAAAGCUAGGGGAGCAAACAGGAUUAGAUACCCUAGUAGUCC